GCCGAGGUGGUGGAACUUGGCAGACACGCCAUCUUGAGGGGGUGGUGCGCGUAAGCGCUUGGGGGUUCAAAUCCCCCCCUCGGCA
rnacentral:tRNA from 1 species